rnacentral:rRNA from 1 species
GAUCCUGGCUCAGGACGAACGCUGGCGGCGUGCUUAACACAUGCAAGUCGAACGGAGCACCCUUGAUUGAGGUUUCGGCCAAAUGAUAGGAAUGCUUAGUGGCGGACUGGUGAGUAACGCGUGAGGAACCUGCCUUUCAGAGGGGGACAACAGUUGGAAACGACUGCUAAUACCGCAUGACGCAUUUUGAUCGCAUGGUCGAAAUGCCAAAGAUUUACCGCUGAAAGAUGGCCUCGCG